rnacentral:rRNA from 1 species
GAUGAACGCUGGCGGCGUGCCUAAUACAUGCAAGUCGAGCGAACGGACGAGAAGCUUGCUUCUCUGAUGUUAGCGGCGGACGGGUGAGUAACACGUGGAUAACCUACCUAUAAGACUGUGAUAACUUCGGGAAACCGGAGCUAAUACCGGAUAAUAUUUUGAACCGCAUGGUUCAAAAGUGAAAGACGGUCUUGCUGUCACUUAUAGAUGGAUCCGCGCUGCAUUAGCUAGUUGGUAAGGUAACGGCUUACCAAGGCAACGAUGCAUAGCCGACCUGAGAGGGUGAUCGGCCACACUGGAACUGAGACACGGUCCAGACUCCUACGGGAGGCAGCAGUAGGGAAUCUUCCGCAAAGGGCGAAAGCCUGACGGAGCAACGCCGCGUGAGUGAUGAAGGUCUUCGGAUCGUAAAACUCUGUUAUUAGGGAAGAACAUAUGUGUAAGUAACUGUGCACAUCUUGACGGUACCUAAUCAGAAAGCCACGGCUAACUACGUG